UGGGGAAUUUUGCACAAUGGGGGCAACCCUGAUGCAGCGACGCCGCGUGAUUUAGAAGGCCUUCGGGUUGUAAAAAUCUUUUGUAUAGGAAGAAAAUGACAGUACUAUACGAAUAAGGUCCGGCUAAUUACGUGCCAGCAGCCGCGGUAAUACGUAAGGACCGAGCGUUGUCCGGAAUCAUUGGGCGUAAAGGGUACGUAGGCGGUUAAAAAAGUUAGAAGUGAAAGGCUAUAGCUCAACUAUAGUAAGCUUUUAAAACUGUUUAACUUGAGAGAUGGAAGGGAAAGUGGAAUUCCUAGUGUAGCAGUGAAAUGCGCAGAUAUUAGGAGGAAUACCGGUGGCGAAGGCGACUUUCUGGCCAUUAUCUGACGCUGAGGUACGAAAGCGUGGGUAGCAAACAGG
rnacentral:rRNA from 1 species